CGAGACCUCAGGUCAGACGGGGCUACCCGCUGAGUUUAAGCAUAUCAAUAAGCGGAGGAAAAGAAACUAACAAGGAUUCCCUUAGUAACG
rnacentral:rRNA from 1 species